CCUACGGGUGGCAGCAGUGAGGAAUAUUGGUCAAUGGGCGAUAGUCUGAACCAGCCAAGUAGCGUGAAGGAUGACUGCCCUAUGGGUUGUAAACUUCUUUUAUAUGGGAAUAAAGUGUAGCAUGUGUGCUGCUUUGCAUGUACCUUAUGAAUAAGGAUCGGCUAACUCCGUGCCAGCAGCCGCGGUAAUACGGAGGAUCCGAGCGUUAUCCGGAUUUAUUGGGUUUAAAGGGAGCGUAGGUGGAUUGUUAAGUCAGUUGUGAAAGUUUGCGGCUCAACCGUAAAAUUGCAGUUGAUACUGGCAGUCUUGAGUACAGUAGAGGUGGGCGGAAUUCGUGGUGUAGCGGUGAAAUGCUUAGAUAUCACGAAGAACUCCGAUUGCGAAGGCAGCAUGCUGGUGCAUAACUGACGCUGAGGCACGAAAGCGUGGGUAUCGAACAGGAUUAGAUACCCGAGUAGUC
rnacentral:rRNA from 1 species